AGGCCUUGUGGGAGGUUGGCUGUCCCAGGAGCCCCGGAAAACACUGAGAUGUCCUUCCAAACAGGGACACAAACAGCUGAAGAGCUCCAGUUACUUAAGAGGGAUCAUCACGUGUGAAGGCGGUGGCCUUCGCUGCCUCAGGGACCUGUGCCUGGUGGUAGAUACUGUACGUCAGAGGAGGGCCUCCAGCGGUGUCUGGCCCCAGCACAGCCAGGCACGGACGCUAAGGUCUGCACACCUGCUGCCCACGGGUCAGAGACCCAGGCCCCAAAUAGGAGCAGCUGCUGUGAUGCUAAUCUCGCAUGGGACUGAGGAUGAGCCCUUUUUGGA